rnacentral:piRNA from 1 species
UACUUUUGGGUUCUGGCCAUUUGGGUGUGU